CAGACUUCAGUGCUCUUAUUCUGAGUUCCCUUACUGUCUUUUGCUUGCAAAUAUGUCUUAACUAGCCAUGGUAAACCCCAUACACACCUGCUUUUGAGUAUGUUAACUAGGUACUAGGUCUUCAGAACAAAGACCACCAGACACUAGUUCACCAGACACUUCAAAACUUCCUGACCACUAUCACGUCAAUCUCUUGUCUGUUUUGUGAGUGCUUGAGGUGCAUCUGGGGUCUGAUUUUUGUUUUUGAAAGGAAAUUUGUGGAAUCCAGAAGACAUUCUUGGAGCCUGUAAUCUGGGAUACCAUCAUCUGUGUUUGAGCAUGUGCAGCAAAGCAACAGACAUGCUUGAAGUAGGAGCAAACCCAGCAAUUAAACACAUGCGCUAUGGACCAUGAGGUAACACCUUGUUAAUGUGAAGAGCAGACUGAAAGGGAGCAGUGUUGAGCUGUGAAGAUGCUCUUCCUGCAUGGCAAAGGCGGUAGUCUCAGACACCUCAAGUGACAGCAGAGUCUGGUGUGGAAGGUUUCUCCUGGAUGUCCUAGCAAGAAACAGCUGGAUUUUGGAUUCAGUGAAAGCUAUGGAGCCCACUCUCAAGCAGCUGAGUAGCAGUGAGCAAGAUCUCGGUGGCGUUACUGCCGUGGGGAAACGCAGCACGCAGGCUCCUGGCCUCUCUGCUGUUCAGCUGCUGCGGCCGAUGCUGCACAGACUGCCUCUUCUUGAAAAUGCUGGGAAAACUGGGAAACACGGG
rnacentral:lncRNA from 1 species